rnacentral:rRNA from 1 species
AUUGAACGCUGGCGGCAGGCUUAACACAUGCAAGUCGAGCGGAGCGAGGGUGCUUGCACCUUAGCUUAGCGGCGGACGGGUGAGUAAUGCUUAGGAAUCUGCCUAUUAGUGGGGGACAACAUUCCGAAAGGGAUGCUAAUACCGCAUACGCCCUACGGGGGAAAGCAGGGGAUCUUCGGACCUUGCGCUAAUAGAUGAGCCUAAGUCGGAUUAGCUAGUUGGUGGGGUAAAGGCCUACCAAGGCGACGAUCUGUAGCGGGUCUGAGAGGAUGAUCCGCCACACUGGGACUGAGACACGGCCCAGACUCCUACGGGAGGCAGCAGUGGGGAAUAUUGGACAAUGGGGGGAACCCUGAUCCAGCCAUGCCGCGUGUGUGAAGAAGGCCUUUUGGUUGUAAAGCACUUUAAGCGAGGAGGAGGCGCUCUAGGAUAAUACCCUAGAUGCGUGGACGUACUCGCAGAUAGC